rnacentral:rRNA from 1 species
CAAGUCUGGUGCCAGCAGCCGCGGUAAUUCCAGCUCCAAUAGCGUAUAUUAAAGUUGUUGCAGUUAAAAAGCUCGUAGUUGAAUUUCGAGAUCAGUNCGCUGGUCGUGCCUUUGGUAUGUACUGGUGUUACUGGUUUCUNCCUUCUGAAGANCCGUCAUGUCAUUCAUUUGGUGUGGCGGGGAAUCAGGACUGUUACUUUGAAAAAAUUAGAGUGUUUAAAGCAGGCUCGCGCUUGAAUACAUUNGCAUGGAAUAAUGAAAUAGGACGUUUGAUCCUAUUUUGUUGGUUUCUAGGAUCGACGUAAUGAUUAAUAGGGAUAGUUGGGGGCAUUAGUAUUCAAUUGUCAGAGGUGAAAUUCUUGGAUUUAUUGAAGACUAACUACUGCGAAAGCAUUUGCCAAGGAUGUUUUCAUUAAUCAAGAACGAAAGUUAGGGGAUCGAAGACGAUCAGAUACCGUCGUAGUCUUAACCAUAAACUAUGCCGACUAGGGAUCGGAUGAUGUUAAUUUUUUAAUGACUCAUUCGGCGCC